UACGGGGGGAGCAAGCGUUGUUCGGAUUUACUGGGCGUAAAGGGCGCGUAGGCGGCCAGCACAAGUCAGUUGUGAAAUCUCCGAGCUUAACUCGGAAAGGUCAACUGAUACUGUGCGGCUAGAGUGCAGAAGGGGCAACUGGAAUUCUCGGUGUAGCGGUGAAAUGCGCAGAUAUCGGGAAGAACACCCGUGGCGAAGGCGGCUCUCUGGGACGGUACUGACGCUGAGACGCGAAAGCGUGGGGAGCGAACAGG
rnacentral:rRNA from 1 species